UAGGGAAUCUUCGGCAAUGGACGAAAGUCUGACCGAGCAGCGCCGCGUGAGUGAAGAAGGUUUUCGGAUCGUAAAACUCUGUUGUUAGAGAAGAACAAGGACGUUAGUAACUGAACGUCCCCUGACGGUAUCUAACCAGAAAGCCACGGCUAACUACGUGCCAGCAGCCGCGGUAAUACGUAGGUGGCAAGCGUUGUCCGGAUUUAUUGGGCGUAAAGCGAGCGCAGGCGGUUUCUUAAGUCUGAUGUGAAAGCCCCCGGCUCAACCGGGGAGGGUCAUUGGAAACUGGGAGACUAGAGUGCAGAAGAGGAGAGUGGAAUUCCAUGUGUAGCGGUGAAAUGCGUAGAUAUAUGGAGGAACACCAGUGGCGAAGGCGGCUCUCUGGUCUGUAACUGACGCUGAGGCUCGAAAGCGUGGGGAGCAAACAGG
rnacentral:rRNA from 1 species